AUGAACUUGCUGUGGUUGGAAUCACUCAUGGACAACGCUGUUGCUUAUCUUGCCCGACUGAAGGCGGCGAUGACUCGGGUUGAUGCCGAACUCUGGCCUCAGGCGGAACUCUCACAAGAUCUCGAGUCUUUGAUGGCUCGACUAAAUCAGAUACCUGGCCGAGUGCGAGAAUGGAAGAAAUCGUUCGCUCGCUGCGGUGCUGACGUCGCCCUGUCAUUGGUCCGAGUGCACUGCAAGGACAUCAGAGAAGACAAGCUGGCGGACCUCAAGGUUUUGAACACCAAGAAGCACACUUUCCAGUCCUUCAUGGACAUUUUCCUCGACGCUGCCACUCGCAUCGUGAACAACAUUGAUCUUUCCAGUUUCUGUGAUCCAACAAGUCCCUCUCUAGAUGAGUGA
rnacentral:rRNA from 1 species